GCUUUUGUCUCAAAGAUUAAGCCAUGCAUGUCUCAGUGCAAGCCGUAUUAAGGCGAUACCGCGAAUGGCUCAAUAUAUCAGUUUUGGUUCCUUAGAUCUUACUCAGUUACUUGGAUAACUGUGGCAAUUCUAGAGCUAAUACAUGCAAUCAGAGCUCCGACCAGAGAUGGAAAGAGCGCUUUUAUUAGAUCAAAACCAAUCGACGGAGGUGGCGACACCGAUGUCGUUUAAUUUGAUGAAUCUGGAUAACUUUUGCCGAUCGCACGGUCUCGUACCGGCGACGCAUCUUUCAAAUGUCUGCCCUAUCAACUUUCGAUGGUAACUCCCGGCACGGGGAGGUAAUGACGAAAAAUAACGAUACGGGACUCAUAUGAGGCCUCGUAAUCGGAAUGAGUACACUUUAAAUAUUUUAACGAGGAACAAUUGGAGGGCAAGUCUGGUGCCAGCAGCCGCGGUAAUUCCAGCUCCAAUAGCGUAUACUAAAAUUGUUGCGGUUAAAAAGCUCGUAGUUGCAUUUGUGCGCCGCGCUGUCGGUGCACCGCAUCCGCGGUGAUACUGGCACGUUUGCGGAGCAUAUCGUCGGUGAG
rnacentral:rRNA from 1 species